GCAGGCAUGUCGGAAUGGAAGACGAAGUCGUUUAGGUGCGACGGGUAUUAUUACCAUAGAGGUUCAAGUCCUCUUGCCUGUA
rnacentral:tRNA from 1 species